rnacentral:lncRNA from 1 species
GGUCUUCCAAGGAUGAUUGGAACAUAGUUGAUCCCUUUGACAAUGGGAUCCGUAUCAAGCACCACAAAAUCUACUGGAUAGUAGAAUUUGUCAACUUGAACCAAUACAUCCUCUAUUACCCCCCUGGGGAUUUUCACUGAUCGGUCAGCUAAGGAUAGGGUGAUCGAUGUUGGCUUGAGUUCUCCCAACCCCAGCUCCUUGUAUACAG